rnacentral:lncRNA from 1 species
GUGAAAAUGUCUUUACCUUCUAGCGUGUUUCUUAUAUCUCUACCUUUGUAUGUGAAAAUGUCCACAGUGGAGAUGAAAGCUGAGUUUCAGACUCAAAUUUUUGCAACUCUGACCCAAACUUUUACAUAUUUUCCAAUAUUCCAUUAAAAAUAAUUUACAAAUGUCCAACCUUUGUUUUGAACAACUUAAAGUCUUAAACCCACGCCACUUAAAUAAGUCACUUUUCUUAAAUAUAAUAAGUGACUUUUGUUACCAACAGUGAGCUGAAAAUCCAGCUUUUGGUAAGAGAGAGAGAGAAGAACAUUACUGUGUAUAUCUGUAUUGAUAUGUCUCACUCUCUAGACUCAUGCUUGUUACAACUCCGUAGCUGGAAACCCUUCCAACUCUCCAACAAAACCACCCUCGACUCCGAUUCCCACACCAACCCUUACCACUCCAAACGCCCCUGUCUCUCCGACCGCGCUACGACGUCGUUUUCAAUCGACAUCUCCAAACUCUCCCUCCUCGACGACGAUAACCGUCCCAACAACAACAACAACAACCACCGCACUCUCAACACCUACCGUCUUCUCGCCCGUAAGCGCCGCCGCCGUGGUUCAAGAUCCGUCUCUGGUCGGAGCAGUGAUCGGUGCUGCUCUGUUGGGGCUUCUGCGGCGUAUGGGACCUGCUCUGAUUUUCCGGUGGCGAUGGGGACUGAUUCGAGUGGAGAGCUGUUUAAUGGAGAUGCGAAUUGGUCUUCGGAUGUGAGUGAAGCGAGGAAUUCGAGGAGGGAGAAAGAUGGUGGGAGUGGUGAGAAAGAGAAUGUGGGAAUUGGGUUUGGGGUUAGUGCUUGUUCUGAUGCGAAUGGGAAUGGGAAUGAAUCGGGGUAUGGAAGUGAACCGGGGUAUCGCGGUGAUGCCGAGUUUGGUUAUGGUGACGAGUUUGAUGAGGAAGAAGAUGAUACAAGAGUGCUUUUUUGGGGUGACCAACUUGGAGGUCAAUUUUGCAUUUUCUCUUUUCUUUUAAUUUGUUUCCUUGCGUAAGGAUUUUUUUUUUUUUUUGAUAGUUGAUGGUGUUUGGUCUCGAACUAACGUCACCUUGGAAUGCUUAAUUCACCUAAACCAAUUGAGCUAGGAGGCACUAGCCCUUGCGUAAGGAUCUAUUUGCAAGUUGAUUUUUUUGGGAAAACACAAGGGUGUUAUUACUUGGUAGGUGUCAAAAACUUGUGAUUUGGUGGAAGAUGAGACAAGGUGUUCAUGUUGUGAAAGUGAAUGAGAUAAUUCUUUAUACAAGUGCUAAGUUAAAGUUACAUGUUAUACCACUGGAGAAAACUCAGGAACUGUGUUUUUAACUAACUCGAGUUUUGUGAUCACUUCUGUUUUCAUAAUAACGAAGAAAACAGAAUGUUAUGAAGAUGAUGAUGUAACUACUAAAGCAAUUGUACACUUCUGUUUUCAUAAUAACGAAGAAAACAGAAUGUUAUGAAGAUGAUGAUGUAACUACUAAAGCAAUUGUAGAGGGAAUUUUAUUCUUAGGGAUCACAUUUAUUAGAAGUUGAAUUUAUGUGUCUCUAAUUCUAGGUAACAAUAUGAUCUCUCAUUUGCUAAACAAAAGAUUUUCAAUGCCAUCGUUCUAUAUAGCAUGUCAUAGUACAGUUUAAUUUGCUUUAUUGUCAUUUGUAAUAGGAUAAGAAUAUGAUUCCCUGAUAUUUGUUAGUGAUUGUAUUCUGCAUUUACCAGUCCACAAACAAAAAACUGUUCUGUAUCACUGGAAAGUAAGAGUUCUGCAUUUAUUAUGCUAUUGUCUGAUUAUAUUUUUCGGAUUACAUACUAACUUGACUUUCAUUGCACCAAGUGUAGAUUCUAAAAUGGAGAUGGUUGGGGAGAACACAUUGUUGGAUCAAAAAUCACAUCAUAGAUGCCGACGCAGGAAGCAUGAUUGUAGAAUGGCUGUUGAUGCAUUGAGGUGAAGAUCUCAGAAAUCCAUGGCUAUGAACAAGACCAAAUUUUAUCUCUUUUUUU